UACGUAGGGAGCAAGCGUUAUCCGGAAUUAUUGGGCGUAAAGAGCUCGUAGGCGGUUUGUCACGUCUGCUGUGAAAACUGGAGGCUCAACCUCCAGCCUGCAGUGGGUACGGGCAGACUAGAGUGCGGUAGGGGAGAUUGGAAUUCCUGGUGUAGCGGUGGAAUGCGCAGAUAUCAGGAGGAACACCGGUGGCGAAGGCGGGUCUCUGGGCCGAUACUGACGCUGGAGGAGCGAAAGCGUGGGGAGCGAACAGG
rnacentral:rRNA from 1 species